AACAUUCACCCAACUAAUUAUCUUUGUGUAUUCUGUGCCGGACUUGAGGAGGUGGGCAGGACACUGCUCUCAGGGAAGGUAUGACCUUGUCUCUCCAAGAGAAGAGGCUAGUGCUCCCCCGACUCUGCUCUCUGGCAUGUGGCUGUAUUGGAGACACUGCUGGGAGCACCAUGUGUGACUAGCUGUGCCUGCAACCCUCCUGAUUUGCAGAACUAUUCCAGCUAAUAACUGAGGAAGGCAUGCAAAUUAGAAUAUCAUCAUAAAUCUCCAAGGAAUUAAUGGAUCGGGACAAUAAUUAUGAAUGGCUACUAACAUUACAAAAAGAGACAGAAUUAGGGUCCUCUUUAGGUCUGCUGACCCUUUUGCACACCUGUACCAUACUGGGGGCAUGUGUCUCUGUGAAACUGUCUUGAGGUCCAGCACCAAGAUGCCUCACUCAGCCAUGAACACAGCACUUCCCAGGUAUCAUG